rnacentral:rRNA from 1 species
AACCUCCGCAAUGUGAGAAAUCGCGACGGGGGGAUCCCAAGUGCCAUUCUUAACGGGAUGGCUUUUCAUUAGUGUAAAGAGCUUUUGGAAUAAGGGCUGGGCAAGACCGGUGCCAGCCGCCGCGGUAACACCGGCAGCUCUAGUGGUAGCAGUUUUUAUUGGGCCUAAAGCGUCCGUAGCCGGUUUAAUAAGUCUCUGGUGAAAUCCUGUAGCUUAACUGUGGGAAUUGCUGGAGAUACUAUUAGACUUGAGACCGGGAGAGGUUAGAGGUACUCCCAGGGUAGAGGUGAAAUUCUGUAAUCCUGGGAGGACCGCCUGUUGCGAAGGCGUCUAACUGGAACGGUUCUGACGGUGAGGGACGAAAGUUAGGGGCGCGAACCGGAUUAGAUACCCGGGUAGUCCUAACUGUAAACGAUGCGGACUUGGUGUUGGGGUGGCUUUGAGCUGCUCCAGUGCCGAAGGGAGCUGUUAAGUCCGCCGUCCUGGGAGUACGGUCGCAAGACUGAAACUUAAAGGAAAU